rnacentral:lncRNA from 10 species
GAAGGUGGGAAGCAGCCUCUCCUCUAAUAUAGAAAAACAACUGUGACAGACAGAACAAAGCAUGUGGUUCAGACACGAGACCCUGAGCUAGCCCUGGGGAGGGAGACAGCAGCUUUGCAGCCGUUAUCCUCAGGAAGCCCUGAGCGCUGAGAGGCACUGUUACAGAACCGAACUGGGGUCCACUCGCUAGGCCUACCUAGGUGCCUGGAAUUUCCCUUCGAGGAACGCAGGAGUUUUCUUUAUUUUCAUGCUUGGGAAGGCUCAUUAGGCCCCUAAGAGAGGGUCCCUUCCCCAUCUCAGGACUAAAAUGCAAUGAAGAUGUUGCUCAGAGGCAGCUGGAGAGGGAUGGGUCUGUGGAGGAUGCCCCGCAGAGUGAAGUCGAGAUGAUGCAGCCACCAGGGCCGGAGGGGAGGGACAUUCCACUUUUUAAAUCAGCUUUCUGAAGCAUGAUCUCCAUAUAAUCACCUAGAAGCGUACAGCACAAUGAUCUUGACAGAUGCCAGCAUCCUUGGAACCACUGCCACCACCAACGUCUCAAACCAUUCCAUCAAACCCAGAACACUCCUGGUGCCCUGAAGCGUCUCCCUUCAGUGGCAGAACCAGCAGAGAUUCAGUGGUCACAAGGUGAGUGAGGCGGCCUGGGUCUGGCUCCUGGCCAUUAAUUUUAAAUAAUUUGCAUUUAACUUUGAACCACCACACCUGGCCAUAUUGGAUAGUGCAGGAGGAAUAAACUCACUGGCACAUCCUUCUGGGGCGUCUACUGUGUGCCCCCCUCCAAGCGGAGUGUGUGGGAACAGAGAGCAGCAUCCCUGCCACAGUGGGUGGCGGUCUGCUUGAGAGAUAUUUUAUUUUCUUGAAACAAAUAAAAAAGACAAAAGGAUGCAUGGUGUAAACACUGGUGGUCAGGCUAAAAUCAAAAAACCAUUAGUGGGCAACACAGCACAGAGUGGGCUCUGCCCAGGCCACAUGUGUGCAGUGCCAGGGCUCGGCUUCAGACCCAGAUGUCCACACCCAGCCCUGCCUAUUACACAAAGGCGGACAGAGCUGUG